rnacentral:rRNA from 1 species
GACGAACGCUGGCGGCGUGCUUAACACAUGCAAGUCGAACGAUGAAACCUAGCUUGCUAGGUCGAUUAGUGGCGAACGGGUGAGUAACACGUGACAAACCUGCCCCUUUCUCUGGGAUAACGCUCCGAAAGGAGUGCUAAUACCGGAUACUCACAUCGAGGCACAUGCCUUGAUGUGGAAAGUUUUUCGGAAAGGGAUGGAGUCGCGGCCUAUCAGCUUGUUGGUGAGGUAACGGCUCACCAAGGCGACGACGGGUAGCCGGCCUGAGAGGGCGACCGGCCACACUGGGACUGAGACACGGCCCAGACUCCUACGGGAGGCAGCAGUGGGGAAUAUUGCACAAUGGGCGCAAGCCUGAUGCAGCGACGCCGCGUGAGGGAUGAAGGUCUUCGGAUUGUAAACCUCUUUCAGUAGGGACGAAGCGAAAGUGACGGUACCUAAAGAAGAAGCACCGGCUAACUACGUGCCAGCAGCCGCGGUAA